rnacentral:rRNA from 1 species
UACGAAGGGGGCUAGCGUUGUUCGGAAUUACUGGGCGUAAAGCGUGCGCAGGCGGCUUCUCAAGUCAGGGGUAAAAGCCCAGAGCUCAACUCUGGAAUUGCCUUUGAGACUGAGUGGCUUGAGUACGAGAGAGGUGAGUGGAAUUCCCAGUGUAGAGGUGAAAUUCGUAGAUAUUGGGAAGAACACCGGUGGCGAAGGCGGCUCACUGGCUCGUAACUGACGCUCAUGCACGACAGCGUGGGGAUCAAACAGG